GCAGUCGAGCGAGAAAGGCCCUUCGGGGCUGAGUAGAGCGGCGGACGGGUGAGUAACGCGUAGGAAUCUACCCAGUGGUGGGGGACAACUUGGGGAAACUCAAGCUAAUACCGCAUACGCCCUACGGGGGAAAGCGGGGGACCUUCGGGCCUCGCGCCAUUGGAUGAGCCUGCGUCGGAUUAGCUAGUUGGUGGGGUAAAGGCCCACCAAGGCGACGAUCCGUAGCUGGUCUGAGAGGAUGAUCAGCCACACUGGGACUGAGACACGGCCCAGACUCCUACGGGAGGCAGCAGUGGGGAAUAUUGCGCAAUGGAGGAAACUCUGACGCAGCCAUGCCGCGUGUGUGAAGAAGGCCUUCGGGUUGUAAAGCACUUUCACUUGGGAAGAAAAGCUUAUCGUUAAUAGCGGUGAGCCGUGACAUUACCUUGAGAAGAAGCACCGGCUAACUCCGUGCCAGCAGCCGCGGUAAUACGGAGGGUGCGAGCGUUAAUCGGAAUUACUGGGCGUAAAGCGCGCGUAGGCGGUUGAUUAAGUCAGCUGUGAAAGCCCCGGGCUCAACCUGGGAAUUGCAGUUGAUACUGGCCGACUAGAGUGCAGGAGAGGGAGGUAGAAUUCCACGUGUAGCGGUGAAAUGCGUAGAUAUGUGGAGGAAUACCAGUGGCGAA
rnacentral:rRNA from 1 species